UUAGGUUAUCUAAUGGUAGUGAA
rnacentral:siRNA from 1 species